ensembl:lincRNA 4833422M21Rik RIKEN cDNA 4833422M21 gene
GAGAGCUGCAGUCAUCUGCUGCGGGUCUUUUAUUACGUGGCAAGUUUAGAAUAACAUUUUCAAAACAUACAACUUCAAACAUCUAAGUCCUCAUGAGAUGAUACAAUACGUGGAUCUCGAGUGCAUCUGUGUGUUUCCCAGAGGCCCGUGCGGGACUCCUGGCCACUGGAUGGUACGCUCUGCCUUCAGAACGGCUCUUUCCACCGUUCUGAAAUGCCCUCCCUCAUAGACACCUCAGGUGUGCUCUGCUGACUCUAAAUCCAGUCAACUUGUCAAAGAUUAACCAUCAGAGGAGCAGGCUCUUCGGUGGAGACCUUUUGGGAGGAGGCCCAGCCGACCGGAGGAUGGCAGCUGUGUGGCUGCCCUGCAACAAUGGACAGAACCAACUUCUACUUUGUUUGCAAGGCACAGAUCCAAAAGAACAAUGAAUGGUGGGACACGCUCCUUGCCCCGCAAGGAUCUGUGUGUUCUUUGUAACUCCUUUCGAGCAGGGCAGGGCAGGAUGUGUGAGGCGUCAGGAUCGAAUUUCUGCUCCAGCCAUGUUCCUGAAUCCCAACCAGCAGACAGGAAAGAAGACAGGUAGCAACAUAUACCAACAUAUUCAGGAGCAUAUUCCUACGUGUAGGCGUGGCAAAUAUACACAACCAGCUGUGGCGGAACCAUCUUAAGUGUGCUAAAUUUAGCAUGUCCUCUGGACUUAAACAUGUUCACCUUGCUAUGCAAACAUUACCAGCAUCAUAUCUAGAGUCCUUUUUAAUCCUCAUAUAGUGGCUAUUCCUGAUUGUCAACUUGACUAUAUCUGGAAUGAACUACAAUCCAGAAUUGGAGGGUUCACCUGUGAUCCAGAUCUUGAGGCUGGAAGACACAAGUUUCUGACCUGGAUCUUGGUAUGGAGAUCUUGAGGCAUAGUGGCCGUGAAAAGCUUAGGCCCAGACAAAGCAGUAUACUCCUUUAAUCCCAGGAGACUGAGGCAUGAAGAUCUCUGAGUUCAAGGUCAGUCUGGGGCAAAGCAAGUUCCAGGUCCAGGUAUGGUGGUACACACCUUUAAUCUUGGUCACAUAAAGACCUGCAUAAAGACAUUGGAAGAAGGAAGAGUUUCUCUUCUUCGCCUGCUUUUCUUGUGGACUGAACAACUACUAGACACUUGGACUUCCAUUCACAGCUGCUGCUGACCAUUGUUGGUGAGUUGGACUACAGAUUGUAAGUCAUCAACAAAUUCCCUUACUAUAUAGAGACUACCCAUAAGUUCUGUGACUCUAGAGAACCCUGACUAACACACCUCUCAAACAGAAACUUCGGUAAACAAUUACUCUCUCUUCAGCCCCUGACAGCUACUCUACCUUCGGUUCUUGGGAAUCUGACUACUCUAAAUCCAUGAAUGGAGUCCUGCCAACAUUUGUCGAUGGCUGGUCCUGUUCAUGGUAGUUCAUGAAUAUCAUGAUAUCGGUCUUCAUUUGUCAUCUGGGCCAGGAUUCCCUUUGCCAAGCUGAGUACUAUUCCAUUGUGUGUGUGUGUGCACUUUCCCAUGCAUUUGCUGGUAGAUGGUUGGGUUGCUUCUUUGCUUUUUGCUUACGUGAAUUGUGCUACAGUGAACACGAACGUACAGAUGCUCUUUGUUCCCCCAGAAGCUUCAUAUUCUCACGUGUAAUGCACAAGGGAGGACAUUUCUCCCCUUCUUACCGACCCUCGUUUUCUGGGUUGUUUUUGUUUGUUUGCUUAAAGAGUAGCCUCACGAUGAGUCUGGAAGGGCACCGCACGGUGGUUCUCAUUUGUACCUCUCUAACAGAGUGUGAUAUGAGCAUUUUGCCCUGUGCCCGUUCAUCACUACUAGUUCAUAUUCCUGGAAAGAUAUCUGUCCGUUCAAUUCACUUGUUCACGGUUUGAUUGAACCGUUCCGUAUGGUGUAGAAUGGACUUUAACUCCUAUCAGAUGGAUAAUUUGUACUGUGCUCUCUUUCCCAUUCUCUGAGUUGUCUUUUCCUUCUAUUGGUAAUACUGUUUGAUACACAGGUUUUUCUCAAUAUAAUUCAAUAGUCUUUCACCUGUCUGCUUUAGCAAGAUGUUCUUCCACCUGGGUGCCCCAGCAAAACAUCAUUUGACAUAACUAACUUUCCAAAGAAGCUAGAAGUUUCCAUUUCACAGGGAUCCUGCCCAGCUCCUCGGGGUGGCUACCUCACAAGCUGUGCGGUUUAGUGUCUUCUGUCUUCUGUGCUUGGAAGACAGUCCUCACCUUUUCUAGCCACUCUCAUCUCAACCAUCACCUCACCUGGGAAGCCUUCCUUGCUCCUCCCCAGGGACUUAAACACGUUUUCUUUUGUUCCUUUGGGCAUUGCCAUCCAAGGACUUUGUUACUCUUUGCUUGUUUGUUUUUGUCUGUCUACUUUCCCAUUAAAGCUUGAGCUCUUUGUGUG